rnacentral:lncRNA from 1 species
GGAGGAGAGGGGGCAGGGUGGGGUGCUGCCCGCACCCCACCACAGGGUCCCCCACCCAUGGACACCAUCAUUCCCGUUAUUUUUUCCAGUUCUAGAAACAUAUGGCCUCCAGAAUGCUAGGGCCGGCGCUCACCACACAGCCACCGAGCCUCAACCCUAGACAUGGAACCCCCAGGCCCCGCUUCCCUGCAGGGUGCUCCAGAGGUUAGGAAAGUCCUACAGAGCAUGCCGGAAACCAGGCGUGGCGGCACACACCUGUGAUCCCAGCACUCUGGAGGCUGAGGCAGGAAGACUGCCAAGAGUUCAAGGCCAGCCUGGGCUACAUAGCCCCGAACACCCAGCUCCCCACAGCAGCAGGAGGAGCUCACGUCUCACUGAGGAGCAGCCGCCAGCCGGAGUGCACGUGGAAAAGAGGAGACAGCAGGAUAAACCGUCAGUGCCCGGCCCAGAGCUGUGGAUGCCCUAACUCCACGUGCCCUGCGGGGUGAGACAGGGUUUGGGACAGUGCAGCGAACAGAGCCCGAGGCGUCUCCGGCCUCCCGGCCCAGGUCCACCCACCCUGGGCCCAGGCAUCGUGGGACACUCAGCUGGGAUCCGGAAGCUCAGAUUUCGGGGUUCUGGGGUUGGGGUGCUCGACUUGUAAAGCCUAAGCAAAUAUCCCAACUUCUGAAAAGAAGUCUGAGACCUGAGACCUGUCUGGGGCCAAGCAUUUCUGACAAGGAAAUGCAACCUGCUGGGGACUCAGAGCCUGGGCGGCCCUGGGGAAGCAGCCAGUUCGGCGCCUUGGGGAGCCUGAGACCGGGAGGCCGAGGUGCGGGGGGGCCAGCACAUUCAGUGCUCUUGCUGGAGCCCACAAACCACUUCUGACUCCCAGCUGCUAAGUGAUACACUGUUUACCCAAAUAGACUCUUUAAAAUAUUAUUGCACCUCAGUGUAUCUCUGAAACCACACAAAACACUGGAUAAAGUGGGGCAGAGGGGGUCUGGGUCACCGGCACCCCACAAAGGUGCAGGAGGGAAGCAGACCCAGACCCAGGAUGGGGGGCUCACGCACCACCCCCUUCUUUGUUCACUGCACCCCCGUGGAGGUGAUCUCACACAUAUGCGCACGCACUGCAAGAACGCACAUGCGCACACACACAGAGACGCAUGCACACACAACCUGCACACACACACACACACACAUGCACACGUGCGCACGCAGUUACUCCAGUGAAACCCCUAACCACUGCCUUUCACCCUAAGAUAACGCUCAAAAUUCCCCCCUCUGACUCCCAAG